rnacentral:rRNA from 1 species
AGUGAACGCUGGCGGUAGGCCUAACACAUGCAAGUAGAACGGCAGCACAGUAAGAGCUUGCUCUUACGGGUGGCGAGUGCCGGACGGGUGAGGAAUACAUCGGAAUCUACUUUUUCGUGGGGGAUAACGUAGGGAAACUUACGCUAAUACCGCAUACGACCUACGGGUGAAAGCAGGGGAUCUUCGGACCUUGCGCGAUUGAAUGAGCCGAUGUCGGAUUAGCUAGUUGGCGGGGUAAAGGCCCACCAAGGCGACGAUCCGUAGCUGGUCUGAGAGGAUGAUCAGCCACACUGGAACUGAGACACGGUCCAGACUCCUACGGGAGGCAGCAGUGGGGAAUAUUGGACAAUGGGCGCGAGCCUGAUCCAGCCAUACCGCGUGGGUGAAGAAGGCCUUCGGGUUGUAAAGCCCUUUUGUUGGGAAAGAAAAGCAGCAGGUUAAUACCCCGCUGUUCUGACGGUACCCAAAGAAUAAGCACCGGCUAACUUCGUG